AUUCAGGCUGGUCUCUGCUAACUGAACCAUUGUGACAUCAUUAUUUGAAGCUGGUGGUUUUAAUUUCCCAGUCUUUUCAUGUUUUUAGACUUUAAUCAGUAAUAAGUCGAGAAAUAAAGCAUUAAAUGUUCACAUAAGGGUACACAAAAAGCUGGAGUAACUCAGCGGGUCAGACAGCAUC